GCCGAAGUGGCGGAAUAGGUAGACGCGACAGUCUCAAAAACUGUUGGGGGGCGACUCCCUUGUCGGUUCGAGUCCGACCUUCGGCACCA
rnacentral:tRNA from 1 species